UACGGAGGGGGCUAGCGUUGUUCGGAAUUACUGGGCGUAAAGCGCGCGUAGGCGGACCUGCAAGUCGGGGGUGAAAGCCCGAGGCUCAACCUCGGAACUGCCUUCGAUACUGCGGGUCUCGAGUCCGGGAGAGGUGAGUGGAAUUCCUAGUGUAGCGGUGAAAUGCGCAGAUAUCGGGAAGAACACCAAUGGCAAAAGCACUCUACUGAGCCGACACUGACACUGAGAGUCAAAAGCUAGGGAGCAAAUGGG
rnacentral:rRNA from 1 species